CUGUUUGAUCCUGGCUCAGGAUGAACGCUAGCGGCAGGCUUAACACAUGCAAGUCGAGGGGUAACGGGGAAGCUUGCUUCCGCCGACGACCGGCGCACGGGUGCGUAACGCGUAUACAAUCUACCUUAUACUGGGGUAUAGCCUUUAGAAAUGAAGAUUAACCCCCCAUAGUCUCUUAGAGUGGCAUCACUUCUAGAGUAAAGGUUACGGUAUAAGAUGAGUAUGCGUUCUAUUAGUUUGUUGGUGUGGUAACGGCACACCAAGACUACGAUAGAUAGGGGCCCUGAGAGGGGGAUCCCCCACACUGGUACUGAGACACGGACCAGACUCCUACGGGAGGCAGCAGUGAGGAAUAUUGGACAAUGGAGGCAACUCUGAUCCAGCCAUGCCGCGUGCAGGAAGACUGCCCUAUGGGUUGUAAACUGCUUUUAUACAGGAAGAAACACCUCUACGUGUAGAGGCUUGACGGUACUGUAAGAAUAAGGAUCGGCUAACUCCGUGCCAGCAGCCGCGGUAAUACGGAGGAUCCAAGCGUUAUCCGGAAUCAUUGGGUUUAAAGGGUCCGUAGGUGGAUAAUUAAGUCAGAGGUGAAAUCUUGCAGCUCAACUGUAAAAUUGCCUUUGAAACUGGUUAUCUUGAGUUAUUAUGAAGUAGUUAGAAUAUGUAGUGUAGCGGUGAAAUGCAUAGAUAUUACAUAGAAUACCAAUUGCGAAGGCAGAUUACUAAUAAUCAACUGACACUGAUGGACGAAAGCGUGGGUAGCGAACAGGAUUAGAUACCCUGGUAGUCCACGCCGUAAACGAUGACAACUAGCUGUUAGGAGACUAUGUCUUUUAGUGGCGCAGCUAACGUUUUAAGUUGUCCGCCUGGGGAGUACGGCCGCAAGGCUAAAACUCAAAUGAAUUGACGGGGACCCGCACAAGCAGUGGAUCAUGUGGUUUAAUUCGAUGCAACGCGAAAAACCUUACCUACUCUUGACAUACUUGGAAGCUCUUGUAAUGAGAGUGUGCUUUUAAGAACCAAGAUACAGGUGCUGCAUGGCUGUCGUCAGCUCGUGUCGUGAGAUGUUCCGUUAAGUCGGAUAACGAGCGCAACCCUUACCCUUAUUUGCCAGCGAUUCGGUCGGGAACUAUAAGGGGACUGCCGGUGAUAAACCGGAGGAAGGUGAGGACGACGUCAAGUCAUCAUGGCCCUUACGAGUAGGGCUACACACGUGAUACAAUGGGAGAGACAGACGGACGCUAAGCCGCGAGGUGGUGCUAAUCCUAGAAACUCUCUCGUAGUCCGGAUUGGAGUCUGCAACUCGACUCCAUGAAGUUGGAAUUGCUAGUAAUCGCGGAUCAGCAUGCCGCGGUGAAUACGUUCUCGGGUCUUGUACACACCGCCCGUCACACCAUGGAAGUGGAUUGCACCAGAAGUAGAUAGUCUAACCUUAGGGAGGGCGUUUACCACGGUGUGCUUCAUGACUGGGGUGAAGUCGUAACAAGGUAGCCG
rnacentral:rRNA from 1 species